GUGGGGAAUCUUGCGCAAUGGGCGAAAGCCUGACGCAGCCAUGCCGCGUGGAUGAUGAAGGUCUUAGGAUUGUAAAAUCCUUUCACCGGUGAAGAUAAUGACUGUAGCCGGAGAAGAAGCCCCGGCUAACUUCGUGCCAGCAGCCGCGGUAAUACGAAGGGGGCUAGCGUUGCUCGGAUUUACUGGGCGUAAAGGGCGCGUAGGCGGACAUUUAAGUCAGGGGUGAAAUCCCGGGGCUCAACCUUGGAAUUGCCUUUGAUACUGGCUGUCUUGAGUUUGGGAGAGGUGAGUGGAACUCCGAGUGUAGAGGUGAAAUUCGUAGAUAUUCGGAAGAACACCAGUGGCGAAGGCGACUCACUGGCCCAAUACUGACGCUGAGGCGCGAAAGCGUGGGGAGCAAACAGGAUUAGAUACCCGAGUAGUCC
rnacentral:rRNA from 1 species